GGAUUGGACAUCUGUUCGAGAGGGAGAGGAAUCAGCCAAGACGAGAAGAGAGGGAGGAGAGAGGGAGAGAGGGAGAGAGAAUAAUGUUAGCAGAAAAUAAUGUUAGCUUAAAAGAAAAGAAACACACGAUUUCGAGGAAUCAUGUUAGUAUAAAAUAAUGUUAGUAUAAAAGAAACACAUUAAAAAAAAUAAUAUAUAUAUAAAAUAAUGUUUGCUUAAGAAAAAAAAUAAAAGAGUCAUCUGACAUCAAUCAUCCGAGGCGGAAGAGAUGGAAGGAACACAUGAUUCCUUCCCUCCCGUCUCUUCCUCUCCUAUUUUCUUCUUACCCGUUUCCUUCUCAUCCUUCCCCGUGACCAUGGCGCGUCGAUCAUACACGUCGAUACGUAUCUCCGCCGA
rnacentral:lncRNA from 1 species